rnacentral:tRNA from 1 species
GAGGGUAUAGCUCAAGUAGAGUGCAUGCUUAGCAUGCAGGAGGUCCUGGGUUCAAUCCCCAGUACCUCCA